CCUGCUCCCCGGGUUUGCUUUCUUCCUCUCACCCCGCAGCCCCGAGGCUUCCCUCCCCGGCCCGCGGGCCCGGGAAGCCAGCGCUGGUGUCUCCGCGCGCCUCAAGGGCCCGCGGCGGGGCGCGCCCAGGAAUGUUUCAAUACCUUUUGUACUGAGGUCUAGGCUGUCUGGUAUUCAAUCAAGGAGGUAUAAGGGAACAAGUUACAAAAAAAAAGUUGGCAAGUAGAAAUCACAUUUGUAAAACCAUAAACAAUUUGAUCUGAAAAGUAAACUCUGAUCUUAAG
rnacentral:lncRNA from 1 species